UGGCUGAGCGGUAAAGCGCUUGGCUUCCGAACCGGGGGAUCCGGGUUCGAAUCCCGG
rfam:Biomphalaria glabrata isolate BB02 unplaced genomic scaffold LGTN_random_Scaffold5529, whole genome shotgun sequence.